rnacentral:rRNA from 1 species
AGAACGAACGCUGGCGGCAUGCCUAAUACAUGCAAGUCGAACGAACUCUUCGGAGUUAGUGGCGCACGGGUGCGUAACGCGUGGGAAUCUGCCCCUUGGUUCGGAAUAACAGUUGGAAACGACUGCUAAUACCGGAUGAUGACGAAAGUCCAAAGAUUUAUCGCCAAGGGAUGAGCCCGCGUAGGAUUAGCUAGUUGGUGAGGUAAAGGCUCACCAAGGCAACGAUCCUUAGCUGGUCUGAGAGGAUGAUCAGCCACACUGGGACUGAAGAC